AAAGAUUUUGCGUUGCAUAAAGUUAUUCAUUGACAGAUCCAUAAAGAUGAAGAAGAUUAAAAGUACAUUCUAAUAGAUUUAAGAAAUGAGACAGAAGGUUGAGAGUGAGAAGAAGAAAAGAAAGGCGCACAAAAUCGGAGUUGAAAGGCAAAGAGAAAGAGAAGAAGAAAUGAGAAAGGAGAUUGAGAGAGUGAGAGGAAUAAAAG
rnacentral:lncRNA from 1 species